rnacentral:lncRNA from 8 species
AUCGCAGAGUGUGUCCGGUGUUUUUUUGUAAUUCUCUCCCGUUUCAGCAGAGCAGGCGAAAUCCCAUCAGAAGAGCUGUGAAAAACCACUCGGCUGAUAUUGGAUUAAGGAGAGCAGCCAAAAACGUCAAUGAACAAACCCCAGCACCUCUUGAAAGGAUUACAUCUAUUGACAUUUUGACAUUUGUAUACACAAAUUAUAUCCACGUUUUGGAGGAUUGAGAUGUUUGUCUGCCAGCCAGGAACGGGCCUUCACACUUGACUGAUGGGAGACCAGUUUCACCCCAAAAUCAGCUCACAACAAUAAAAUAUUGUUGUUGGUGCUGUUGUUAAUAGUAUUUUUAUUAUUUAAUAGUAACUUUGUUAUGCCUUGUGCUUUUUAUUGAUUUUAUUGGAUUAUUUUAAUCCAUUCAGAUAAAUAAAACAAUAAAUUGCAAUAUAAA